rnacentral:rRNA from 1 species
AUACGGAGGGUGCAAGCGUUAAUCGGAAUUACUGGGCGUAAAGCGUACGUAGGCGGUUAUUUAAGUCAGAUGUGAAAGCCCCGGGCUUAACUUGGGAACUGCAUUUGAAACUGGGUAACUAGAGUUUAGUAGAGGGGAGUGGAAUUUCAGGUGUAGCGGUGAAAUGCGUAGAGAUCUGAAGGAACACCAGUGGCGAAGGCGACUCCCUGGACUAAAACUGACGCUGAGGUACGAAAGCGUGGGUAGCAAACAGGAGUAGAAACCCUAGUAGUCC